GUCAGUUAGCACGUCUGUAGAAAGCAUGUGUGUGUGUCAGUGAGCGCAUCUGUAGUGAGCAUGUAUGUGUGUCAGUGAGCAUGUCUGUAUUAAGCAUGUAAGUGUGUCAGUAAACAUGUAUGUAGUGAGCAUGUAUGUGUCAGUGAGCAUGUCUGUAGUGAGCAUGUAUGGGUCAGUGAGCACGUCUGUUGUGAGCAUGUCUGUGUCAGUGAGCAUGUCUGUAGUAAGCAUGUAUGUGUGUGUCAGUGAGCAUGUCUGUAGUAAGCAUGUAUGUGUGUGUCAGUGAGCAUGUCUGUAGUAAGCAUGUGUCAGUGAGCAGGUUUAUGUCAGUGGGCUUGUAAUGAGCAUGUGUGUGUCAGUGAGCAUGUGUGUGUCAUUGAGCUUCUCUGUAGUGAGCAUGUGUGUCAGUGAGCUUCUCUGUAGUGAGCAUGUGUGUCA